UACGGAAGGCAGCAGUGGGGAAUAUUGCACAAUGGGCGAAAGCCUGAUGCAGCUAUGCCGCGUGUAUGAAGAAGGCCUUAGGGUUGUAAAGUACUUUCAUCGGGGAGGAAAAACAAAACUAAUAAUUUUAUUUCUUGACGUUACCCGAAAAAGAAGCACCGGCUAACUCCGUGCCAGCAGCCGCGGUAAUACGGAGGGUGCUAGCGUUAAUCAGAAUUACUGGGCGUAAAGAGCACGUAGGUGGUUUUUUUAAGUCAGAUGUGAAAUCCCUGGGCUUAACCUAGGAACUGCAUUUUGAAACUGAAAUACUAGAGUAUCGUAGAGGGAGGUAGAAUUCUAGGUGUAGCGGUGAAAUGCGUAGAUAUCUGGAGGAAUACCUGUGGCGAAAGCGGCCUCUAAACGAAUACUGACACUGAGUGCGAAAGCGUGGGGAGCAAACAGGGAUUAGAUACC
rnacentral:rRNA from 1 species